AUUAUUAUUCAGAGCCCACUGUGUCCCACUGCUGGGCAAAGGCCUCCCCCCUCUUUCUCCACUCGUCUCUAUUUAGUGCAAUAUCUGGCCAGCCUCUCAAGAAGGAGUCCAAGUUAUCCCGCCAUCGCCGACGAGGCCUGCCGGCUCCCCGGUUAGACUCGUGGGGCUCCCACUCUGUGGUUAACUUGGCCCACAAGUCGUCCGGCAUUCGGCAGACAUGACCAGCCCAGUCCCAUUUUAACUUGGCCGCUUUCCGAGCUACGUCUAUUAUUCGAGUUUUAGUAUAAUUAUCAGAUGUUAAUUUUACUUAGGCUUGUAUAAUAGGAAGUUAUCGAGAUUUUCCACAAAAAGCGUAGAAAUUUUAAGUGAUUAAAACGAUAGACGUCAAUUACCCGUAAAAAAAGUAAUACUCACCAAUAAUACCAAUCAUCUCCAUUCAAUAACUGGAGUCGCCUCGCCUUUAAGAGCGUACCCCUCUGCCGAAAAACUUGCACAAUUGUGCAAACUUUUGUAUGGACUGACAUGGCUAUUUGUACGUUACGUACAAAUCAUGUAGAAAUAGCAAUACAUUUGACGUCCCCUCCCCCGCAGAAAUCGGCAGACUGUUUCGUAAAGAAAAUGACAGCGAUGACAUCUCCAGUUACUAAAUUCUCUAAACUUAUAAAAUAAUUACAAGCGACAGAGACGGAGCUGUACCUAGUUGAAAUUAAACAUGAAUUAGUACAUUUAUUCUUCUGCUCGCCAACAGAUAGCUGCUAUCGCUCAUGAUAAGUUGAGUGCAAUGUUGUCUGUAGACCGCGUUAGCGAUCAGCAAUAAUUACUCAACUUGGCAUAAUUGUUUAUAAAUACAUAUACAUAUAAAUGAAAUUUACUAAAAUUUAAGAUGUUUAAAUAAUUCUAUGUUUUAUAUAAUGGUUUUAACGUUGUACCUAUUGCUGACUGAGAUGAAGAUAUGAAUGAAAUAACUCGCAUAAAUAUCGUACAGUAUGCAUACAAAAUUGAAUUACAUUAUAAAAAAAACUACUCGAGUUUUGCUCAUACGUACCUACUGAUGUGUUGUUGGAAACUUACCAAUAUUGCGAAAUUUCCACAUGGUAAAAUUUCGGAUAUUCUCAUAUUUUUGUAUGAGAAUAAAAAUUUACCAUUCAAUGAAACUUUCCCUUGUUUUCUUAAAAAUGUUGCUAAAAUUUCUGCAAACUUUUCCAACUUUUAGGAAAUUACACAAUUACACAUCUGUAGGUACUCAACGACACACGGUAGACAACAUGGCGCCGUUUAUUCUGACCUUCACACCAAGUGAAAACAAAUUACACACAUUGUUUUACCGACAGUUUAUCAAGAUAAAUAUCUACAUUCUGAAAUGUUUCACUGUGGAUACGAUACAUUACCUUAAGGUCGUUUGUACUACGAGUGUACAGUACAGUACGUCUCUACACAUUCUUAUGAAGUAAAUUAGUAAUACCUAGGUACAUACUAUAAAUGUAUUAGGUUAGGGUAUAUAAUAUAUAGUUUAAUAUUGUAAGAAUAUUAUUUUUAAGAAAGAUUAUUACGAAAUGCUUAAAGUACAAGUAGAUCUCAUAAUAGAAAGUACUAUAUUGUGUUACAUAUUAUUUCCUUAAUACAAUGUACUAUUAAUUUAUUUUUAUAAAUACAUGCAGAUGCAAUGAAAAUUGGUGCGUGUUGCUUUCUAUAUACUUGUUAUUGCUCAUAAGAUGCGUCCAGAUUAGCAAAUAUGUACAUGUUUGCAAGCUCACAUAAGCACGUAAUCUACAGCAAACGUUAUUCGCAGUGCAUUGGUUUGAUCUGGACACACCUUUACUGUAGAUGGGAUAGUAAGAGAGUAAUAUAAAUAUUUGUAGAGAAGAGCAAAUAGACGCACGAAUUUUAUCCUUUGCUUAAAAGUGAAUAUAUUGUUUACGUGCCAAAUUCAUUAUAUUUUACAAGCAUUUAACUUGCAAUGUAUGUAUGUUCCCAUUAUUUAUUUUACGAUGUACCUACUUAUCACUUACUCGUUUACCUACGGCAGAAAAACAGGAAGAGGAACAACAGUAAUAAUACUGAAUUCUGUAAACGAGUUUGGGAAUUUAGGUAAUACUUCAACAAAUUUAUUUCUUAUGUAUAAUAUCUACAUCUACGUAGGUAUUAUUUACCAAGGAUGCUGCCAACAAUUGUGCAUGCCAUCUUAAUGAUCACUGAAACGAUAAAGCAAUUGGAUUAAUAUAUGGUAAAAUAUUAUUGUAAGGCAGCUUAACAAAAUCGGCCCUUGUUUUGAAAAUUGUCCUUAAGACGAAACAGGAGCUGAGAUUUGAAUAUUUUAGGUAUAUAUGCCUGUCUAGCUAACGGAAGCGGCUCCUAAAACUAGUGCGAUAAGGACAAGGCGAAAAAAACUACGUAAAAAUCUCAAAAAUCGAGGUUUCGUACUCGACUGUUUCCUCCUCCAAAACUUAAUCAAUCGUAACCAAAUUUGGAAAUCUAAAUGAUUAUGAAAUUAUCUGUGUCGGACCGUUUUGCUUUUUUAGCUAAUUGAUAUCAGUUUUGAAUACCACGCUUCUUAUUGAGGCAGGGCUCUAGCGCCUUAAAAACCAAAAAUAUCAAAAAAAGCAAAACGGCCCGACACAGAUAUUGAUCACUGCUCUGCUCUAGCUUUAAAACCCACGGAGGAAACAGUCGAGUACGUUUGUAUGGAGAAACGACCACUCCUGUUGGCUCUUAAAAUCUCGGCUAUUAGUUGUAAAGGUAUUCUUUGUGAUUCGAUAGCCGCACUAUUCUUCAGAUAAAUUCAACAUCUUGAUUCCUGGGGGCCGAUUUUUGAAUUUCGAUCGUUCGAUUUCGUCACUCGAAAAUCGGUGGAAAACGGCGAAAUGCUAAUUUUUGAAAUUCGAGCGAUAUAAAUUGGGAAUCUAGUGCAGUGGUUCUUAACCUUUUCAGUCCGGUCACCCCUAUGACUAACUAGGGAACCUGAUUUUACCCCUCCUCCCAUUGGUAAUAAAAAAUAAAACGUGUACGUUUGUUGUAUUGUUAUAUUAGGUUAGCCUAUUACCCCCGUAAAAUACCAGUUUUACCCCCACGGGGGUAAUUACCCCCAGGUUAAGAACCACUGAUCUAGAACCAAAAAAAAAAUUUUGUCAUUGUUCAAAAUCAAAAUACGCAAGCAUGAAAUCACAAACUAAUCCGCCUCUUUUAUGAGUUUAUGCUAUUUUAACUUUGUUACCUAAUAUAAGGUAACUCGGUUUUCCUAAGUAUAUCUUCUCAAUAUUCUCAUAGACCUGAUUUAGCUAAUGAUUGUUUCAUAGCAAACAUUUCUUUUGACAUUGCAUAUGGCUAAGUGUUUGUUCAGUUAUCUCUGUCUAGUCAAUUCACUCACUUGCUUUUAGAACCUGCACUUAGGUGAUGGGGGCUUGUUAGAUCUUAACCAUUGAGAAGUAAAAAUAACAUUUAUUUCGUAUAUUGAGUCACAUGGCAAAUUCACAGAUAAUGUGGGGUUUAGACUACAAGUGCACGCUGUGCUAACUGUUAGUGAUUCUAUUGCCUUGGCAUAAAUAUAAAUAAGUAGAUAAUAAGAGUAGGUGCAUGAAACUUCGUCUAUAUUAUACUAAACUAUUUUUUGGCGCGUACAGUGACGUGGUUUCUUUUAACACGUUUACUGGGAUAUAAUACAAUAGAACAAAUCUAAUACCUAUUAUUAUAUUAUUGCACGUAUGGUUUUUGUAACUAUUGAACUAAUUCCAAUAAAUUUAUUAUAUAA